rnacentral:lncRNA from 1 species
CAUGUUGACUACAUAAGUUGGUGUGUAACCAUGGUUCUAAACUUUUGAAGGGAUUAAUAAAUAGCAACAGUAAAACGAUUUGUGGAAAGUAUAUGAACUAGUUUAGAUAUGAAACAACUUAUCAUUUUACACAAUGUCCUGAUUCAAUUACCACUUUAACUUAUAUACAUAUUAUUUUUGGCUGAUUGCACGUGCAAGUUGAAAGUGAAACUAAUUGUUGUGUAUAACCCAGAUUUUUGUGAAUUUUUGGUGUAUUCUUGGUAUAUUUAUUGGAAAACUGGCUUAAUAUCCUUACAAAUUUAAAUAAUAUUUCAAUAGCGAUAGGGACUACAUUUUUAUUAAACGCUUAAAGUGAUCCAAUCUAUAUACCUGUAGACUUUAAAGUGAUAAUUCAAGCAAACUGGAUUUGUAAUGACUGAGAGGAUUUUUAACUGCACCGUACAGAAAGAAUAGCAGAUAUGCGUGUUAAAGUUUUGUGCUGCAGUAACAUAGUUCUCCGGCUUCAACUUCAACUCACAGAUUGAUGGCGAAUAAGGGCAAUGGAAACAGAUCUUCAAAAAAGAAAUCAAAUGAAACGCACCUUAAAGAAACAGCCGUGACGGCUAACAAUACGGCCGAACAAAGUGAUUUAACUGUUGCUUCCAAAUCAUUUCAAAAUGUGGAAAAUAAAGAGGAUCAUGAAAAGAAUGCUUCAGAAAUUGUUGGCACGGUAGCAGGCAUUGCAGCGGGAACAAUGUCUGGAGCACUUGUCUGGCCUGUUGGAAUGGUAAUAUUUGGACCUGUGGGUGGUAUUCUUGUAGGAGCUGGUGUUGCUGGAUUUUGUGGUAUGGCUAUUCAAGGUCCGUCAUAGACAGGGAAAUCUUUUUUAUUUUUUUAAAAAAUCAAACUUGUUGUUAAAGUCGCUGUUUCUUUAACUUAUACUAAUAUAAUGUUAGAUAUUAAAUGAAAACUUUACAGCAUAAAUUAGCGACGAAUAUUCAAUGACAUAAUUUCUUUUUAAUGAGUUCGGUUAAAACUUACAAUUAAGUACACUAAUCAUAACAAUUCUGUUUUGUUUUCCAUUUUAGCCAUGUGGGUCACAAGUCGUCUAAUCUGCAAUGUAUUUAAUUAAUAGGAAACAUCCACAGAACACACUUGCUUUACCAUAAUAAAUAAAUUAUAUUAUAAGAAAAUGUAAUUUGUUUCUUUUUUAGUUAUUAAACGCUACGCCUGUUCGACAUACACUUAUUUCAUAAUUUGUUUUCAGAAGUUGUUUCGAAACACGUUCAACAAAUGGAAUUACUUUUACCUUGUUUUGCUUUGCCCGUUUUUAUUUACCAAGUGUCUUGAGAUAUUUCUUUGAUAAACUUUUAAAUAAAAUCUUACUUUCUGUUUUUGCAUGCGCCAUUCGUUUCAAGCAUAAGAAAACGUUUCAAUUGCUUUUUACAGCAUUCAA